rnacentral:rRNA from 1 species
UAAUGCGAAUUGCAGAAUUCAGCGAGCCAUCGAAUCUUUGAACGCACAUUGCGCCCGCCAGCAUUCUGGCGGGCAUGCCUGUCCGAGCGUCAUUUCCUCCCUCACGCAGCGCGCCUGCGUGGUGUUGGGGCGUUCUGCGGCCAGGCCUGCGCCCA